GUGUCAGCCGCCGCGGUAAGACAGAGGGGGCAAGCGUUGCUCGGAAUUACUGGGCGUAAAGGGCGCGUAGGCGGGAUGGCAAGUCGGUCGUGAAAUCCCUCGGCUCAACUGAGGAGCGUCGAUCGAAACUGCCGUUCUUGAGGGUUGCAGAGGAGACUGGAAUUCCCGGUGUAGCGGUGAAAUGUGUAGAGAUCGGGAGGAACACCGGUGGCGAAGGCGGGUCUCUGGGCAACUCCUGACGCUGAGGCGCGAAAGCGUGGGGAGCAAACGGGAUUAGAAACCCGAGUAGUCC
rnacentral:rRNA from 1 species